UCUCCCGCUAAAUCAGGCAGGCACCCAUUUUUUUUGGGCAUGUUGGAAAAAACUCUGGCAGCUUCAGGAAGUCAUCGAUCCUGUGUUUGUCGUUACGACGAUGCACUGAGAACUGAACUAACCCGUGACAUCGUGACCUAAAAGGACACGACGUUCCACAAGCUGGACGGCGUUACCUCACAUGUACAACGAUGACCUAGAAAAGGUAGAAACGUUCCUCAAGUUUUCACAAUGGCCGAUGUGGCGCAGCUGAUUUACAACAACGCUUGGCAACGCACGACUUCAUUCAAAGCGCAAAAAGAAGCAAAUUAACCUGCUGUAGUCUGACGAACACACCUUUGGGAAUUUUAUGGUAAAAGCUCAUGCCAGAUAACAUGGAGGCACGAACAGGGCCAGCUUUGAACUCUAUCAUGUGCAAUUUGUUAAAGCGGUGAAACAAAAGCGUUCUUUACCGCUCCACAUUAAUCUGCGGAAGACACUGCACAGACUUUCUUUGUGUGGGUGCACUAAGCCGUCAUUGUGUGUCUUUUUUUUUUUUUUUUUUUGCUCGACUUGCUAUAUACACGUUAUUUGUUUGCUUGAAAGGGACGAGAGCUUCAAAGUAAAUAGGAUCGCCGCGACUUCAGGCGCCCGCAUCUGUCUCGGGUGUUUCACUUCGUGUCUGUCAAGCAAUGAGACCUGUCGCUGGUUGUUGCCGGUCCCAUCAAGAUGAGUGGCAACGUCCCCGCAAGGGCAUGGCGAAGGGGAAAAAGAGAGAAAGAAAAGCAAAAUUACCCCCGGUAACAACAACGAAUGUCGUUCCUGACAAGUCGCUUGUAAUUUUAUUGUUGACCGGCUGACACCAUCUGCAGUUCAAAGCUGAUACUGGGCCACACGCUAAUGAGAUCAGACUCUGAUCCGGCUUCAGCAUAAAAAAGAAGAAGAAGGAAAAAAAAGAUCUGAACAACACCUUGUUUGUUAAUAAUUUAUUACACAGCAACAACCAAGAUCUAAUUGGGGGGGGGGCAAACAUAAAUUGUUAAAGCUAUGAAAGUUCAAAGACAUAUUUUGAUGCACUGUUUUUCUAGAAUGCAUCUACAAAAAAGAAAAAAUCGAAACAGGCUGUGGUUGUGAGACAUUUUUCAGACAUGCAUAACUGCGUCUGGCAUGUGGGAACACAAUGCAGCUAUCUGCAGUCAACUCAAAGGCUAUUUGGUUAAGAAAUGUCUUGAAAUGGUUACAGUCUUGUCAUUUUUGUAUUUGAUAAAGUAAAAUUGUAGGGAACUACCAGAGUUAUCAGGAGCAGAUUUUUUUUUUUUUUUACAAAAGUAUUGCUAUCCUUUAAAGUUUUUUUUAUUGUGCCCGGUUACAUUAUUUUGUAGAACAUUCCUUCCCAUUCCUCUUCAAGCUUAGAUAUAUUGAAAUAAAAUCAUAUGUUUUCAUCAGUUUUCAAGCCUUUUCACAGAUUUUUAAGGCUUGUACUUCAACUUUGCCAUCCUUUCACAUGAAUCCCAUUUCCUCUAAAUUAUUCCAUUAAAGCUCCGGUUGUAUGUUUAAGGUUGUUGUCCUGCUGAAAGUUUAUCCUCCUCCUCACUGAAUCCUCUAAACAGCUUGACUCACAGGAUUACCCCAUUUUAACCUCGAUCCAUUUUCUCUUCAAUCCUGACCAGCUUUUCUGUCCCUGAUGAAGAAAAACCGUCCCCACACCAUGAUAUUGCCACCACGUAUCACCAAGGAGAUGAUGUGUUCAGGGAUGAUGUACCCUGCACAGCUUGUGGCGAAGUAGGCAACAAGCAGGACUUUUUAUGUCUUUUUCUUUCCCAGGCAGUCUUCGAGAAAGGCAAAUUUUUUGGACAGAUUCUCUCAGCUGAACUCUGCAGCUCCUCCAGAGUUUCCACGACCAACAGGGCUGUUUGUUUAAGGGUCAUCUAGGUCUUGCGGUUCUGUCAUGCUAUUUCCAUUCUUGGAUAACCGACUGAGAGACGUUUAAAGUUGGGAUUUUAUUUUCUAACCCACUCCUGCAAUAUCUACAACACCUCAGUCCUCCUCAACCAGAUUCAUCUCCAGUCUCUUCUCUAUUUUUCAUACUAACAUCAUACAAGCCGUAUAUUCCACGCAAGGCAUUUAAUUGUCAACAGACUGCAAUAGUUAAUUGGUCUGUGAUUUACGUCACUGCAAACUCCAAACAGCAUCUCAGCCGCCAUGGUGGACCACUGGACAUGCCAUCUGCUAUCCGAGAGCUGCACAGUGUGGAGGAGGGUUAUUAUGAGUUUAAUUUUGAGCAGUGCCAGGAACACGCAACGUUUGGAGUGAAAUGAUGGCGAUUUUGCAGCCUCGCAAGCAGCACAUCUCUCUGAAGAAGUGAGAAAUUAUACAACUUUGAAAAAGGUACUAUGUUUUUUUUUUCUCUAUUCAUAUCUGAAAGUAUAUGAGUCAUGAUUCUUCUUCCAAAUAAACACACAUAUGACUCUUGGGCGUCUAUGUCAAACAUACUCCAGCAGAAUUUUAUCUUUCCAGAUGUAGCUCCUGGGAGUAUUUGCAGUGGUGAUCUCACACAUCUGCAUACGGAUGUUUUUACAGUGCAAUGAAUAAUUUCCAUGUAAAGUGAGAUUUAUUGCACCCAAAGUUAGCUGAAUACAUACAGUACACGAGUGCAAACAAUCAUGCAUCCACUCACUCAUACCUGAGGAUAAUUUGGAAAAGCAAUGAAUGAGAGAAGCACUGGGAGAAUGUACAAACUCCAUGCAGGAAGAUCUUAGGAUGACAUUUGACCUUCGGACCUUCUUGCUGCAAAGCAACAGUGCAACCAACUGUGGCCCCUCUUGAACAUUGAGCACCUUCAUUGAUGGAUUUCUCUAAAAGACACAUUGUUUUUGUUAAGAGUUUAAACAUUUAGUAACUAACAAUAACUUCUGACAUUUGGCUAAACUCAGACUGUAACUUAAUCGACUACUCUGACUGCACGACCAUUCAGCCAUAUCAGAAGCUGAACGUAAUGUCAGAUGGAUAUAAAAACAUGUGAACUCUGUUUUCUUUUGAAAGGUAUGCAACCUAACAGCAAGUGGCUGGUGAACAUGGAGUCACUGACUGAACUGCUCUCAUCCUGAGGCUAAAUGUGCAGAGAUGCUGAAAAAGUCAGGUGUUGCUGUAAAUGCUCCCCAUGUAUUCCCAGCUGAAUUAGAAAGCUACCGCUUCUGGCAUGUGUUGGCCGACUGCGGCGCCUGCGGGACUUUGCCUAGCCCCUGGCAUUGUCAUUCUUCAUUGAUCAGAGGGGAGAGGCUAACAAGGUCUCCAGGCUACAUGCUGCUUUCCGACUGCUACUGCAGUUCUGCUCUUCCUCCUCCUCGUGUCUGAGGAACAUCCAGAGCAGCACAUGCAUCCCUCUUCCCACGCGCUUCUCCUCUGGCACGCGUUGCAUCUGGACAGGAUGAAAGCGAGGUCUGAACACGUCUCUGCCUGCUCGGAUCUAAAUUGACUCACUUUAAACUCUGAGCUAUGCCGAAUGUCCCGUGGUUACAGACAGGAAGAAGGUGAAGCCACCAAAGGGCUCUGUGCCAAACUAUCUGUAAAUUUGCCAGAGAACUUUGAUGUGCAAAAAAAAAAAAAAAGAGAGAAAUUGAAGAGGAGGGUUGCAUAAUCACACGAGCAGCGAAUAUUCAGCCUUACUGAUGCUUCACGUGCUACUUAUUGC